AUCAUCUGUCCCCAGCGCUUUCUGAGGACAAGGAUCAUUUCUUUUAUCUUUCUGGAUCCCAAGGGCCUAACACAUAGAAUGUAAACUCCGAAAGAACAGGACUCUGUUGCUUGUCCACUGCUGUUCCCCAGAGGCUGGAAUGUGGAACCUGAAGCCCACUGCGGGACCCGCUGGAAACAUGAUCUCUGUCUCAUCAGCCCUCAUCACCCCAGGACAGCAACGGGAUCAAGUCAAAAGGGCCCUUGUGGGGAAUGCAGGGCCCGACA